UAAAAUCAGAGGCGAAAAUUAGAUUACAGAGCUUUAUUUGAUGUAUGUCUUAUAUGUUUGUAAUAAUCUGGAAGUGUCCAAAUACUUACGUAAUGUACAUAUACAGUAGCUCAUCAAAGUAUUCGAAUACUUCUAGAAACUUUUUAUCUAUAUAUUUUACAAAACGUUUUUAAAUUUCAUUAUUAUUAUAACGGGAGAUGUUAUUAUCGUAAUUAUAUUGGUUAAAUUUGAAACGGAUCGAACUAUUUAUUGGAAGCAUAUAUUACAUUAUAUAAAUCAAGCAUACAAUUCACUAUAUUAAUAAGCCAGAAUAUGUAAUGAGACGAUCUUUAACACUAUUUGUAUAUUUAAGAUUGCUAUUCAUACUGUAUAAUAAUAUUUCAUUAAAUUUAUGUUUGCAAUAGAUGUCUUGUAACUUCUAAGUACAUUUUCGGAUUGGUUUUAAAUUUUAUUGUUAUAAAUACGAUAGUCAUGUUUCAUAAUAAUGCCAACGAAAUUUCCAAAAGUUCCGUGUAAUGAACAUAAUAUACUCAUCAAAAUUGUCUAUAAUAGUAAUUCUAGUUUUAUAUAUUCUAGUAUUUUCGUGAGCCACUGUACGUAUACGACGGUUGAUUUUAUUAUCAGAUAACGAACCAAAUAAAGAUGAUGACCGAAAAACAAACUUCGAAUACACGUGGAUACGAGAGAGGAUAUGAGAGAUCAAGUUUCAGGACUUCCACGGAUCAUCAAAUAAAAGAUAUUUGUCGCGGAGACGCCUCUCAGUAUCAACUAAAAACAUGUUGUACUGUCGAU